UAUAGGCCAUUACUUUUGUAUCGUUUAUUGCAUUUAUGGAGGGAGAGGUGUAUGCUGGGUAAUGGCACAGCUAGCGACCGGGUGACCCGCUUCGGAUGUUCAGUCCAUCAGGCGUUAUUAGCACAAAUCAGUCCCAUAGAUAUGGGCCAUCUCCACCUGCUAGAUUGUUCAGAAGGUUGUUAUCAUCCAUCCAGAUGGAGGAUCAGUAACAGGAGCGUGGGAAGACUCCAGAAUCCACUCUGGCUGGAAUCCGGUGGAUACAGCAGUGUUACAGAACAGUUCUCCACAGUCGCUGUCCACAUGGGUCAGUGGGACCAAGCAGCACUCUGCUAAUGUGAGACUCUGAUCAGCAACAUCCAGCAAGACCCAGACAGCGUUUUCUAUCUCCCUGCUGGAGUUUUUUGUUUGUGACUGGAGAGUCAGAUUUUUGUUGAAGCUGGAGGAACAGCCUCACACUUGCAGAGGUUAAUACACGCUACUGAUCCCUGAUGGGAGAAUCAUCACCUCUGCCAACAAAGAAGCCUGGUGGAUAUUUGUUUACAGUCUGAUGAUGGGACAUCAUGCUCUGCAUCUUCAAAGUUUGUCUCUUGCUUAUUAUUGAUACACAGUAAUGUGAAGUAUGCUUAUAUAUAUCUAGUAUAACUGGACCAACCUGGUGCUCUUCAUUUAUGGAGGCUGUUGAGUCUGAAUGUUGGAUGUUGGGUAUCUCGUGUUCUCUGGGCUUUGUUGUCCUCAGUCUUUUUGCAGGAUCAGAAAACAAAACCAGGAGGCCUGUAAAUGUUUCUUCUCCAAUUGGAUGAUGAUAAGACCGUGACACGGGAUGCCACCUUUAGUCUUGUGAUGAAGCAAAGCUCAGGAAGAAGUGUGAAUAAAUGGUACCCACAUGUGUGCUGCUGAGGAGGAUGUACAGGGGCACCUGCAGCCAAAUCCAAGCCGCCUCAGCAACUUCAGGUCUGUCAGCGUGCAGAGGUCACAGAAACAAGAAAAGCAGCUUCAGAGUGUUGUUUACAGUUUUCUGUCAUCAUGAUCUCCCCUGAAGUUUAUCAAGCAAGCAGAGCAGCAGUUUGUGCUCACAGAUGGUGACGGUGUGGAGAGACGGAGGUGUUUCCUCAGAAGAACUAGCAGAGUCACCAAGGGCACCAGUCCAUCUCACCACCUUGACUUACUGACUGAUGCUCGUCUGCACUGCACAGAGGAAAUCAACUGACCGAGGACUGUUUCUGAGUGAGGGAGAGAGGAGUCAUCAUCCAGGUAAAGUGACGUGGAUCAGUGGACACACUUGUCUCCCCUUUAAAGGAGACGAUCCGAGUCAUCCUUAAAUAUGGGCAGGAUAUCAGUCUUGGACUGUCUAACCUGCAGGAGCAGCACUGAAUGAUCACCACACAUGAGCAUGUUCCUGCAACAUUCAGCAUCUGAUCUGCCAUCUGUGUGCUUCUGCUUUUGUGUCAAAUGUCAACCAGCUGGAGAGGAAACUACACCAGUGUACUGGGAUGUUUCAGCAACACGUGCCAGAUGCUGUUCCUUCAUGGUGACAUCACCAGAGACAGCCCCGCCCACCUCAGGACCUCGCCAUUGAUCAUGAUGAUUAUAAUAAUGACAGCGAGCGGAACUAAGACUGUACAAAUCCACGACCUGAAUGUUUAGAUGCUUUCUAAUUAUUAAUGAAUACUGAGAGCCUCUUUCUGUGUUUUGUCUGUUUUGGUUUUUUUACCUCAUUUGUUACUAACAAAGUUCACCAAACUCACACAGUUUACAUUCUGUAUGUUUCCAUCUUUACCAGCCACACUCUGCCUGCAUUUAAGAAAACAAACCUUAGAAAUCGUUACUUUUCUCUUUUGUAAUUGAUGAUAAUUCAGUGAAUAUACUGCGCUGCUUCCUUUUAUUGUGUCACACAUUGCUUUAAGUUUUUCAGUGUCCAAUUAUUUUUUACUGCUGUUUGAAUUCUCUGUAUGUUUGACCCUGUAGACUGUUUAAUGGACUGCUUGUCUUCCUGUUUGUAACCGCCGCCUGUUUUUGACUAAAGAUUUGGAUUUCUGACUGUAACACAGCCUCUGCG